rnacentral:rRNA from 1 species
UCCGUAGGUGGAUAAUUAAGUCAGAGGUGAAAUCCUGCAGCUCAACCGUAGAAUUGCCUUUGAUACUGGUUGUCUUGAGUCAUUAUGAAGUGGUUAGAAUAUGUAGUGUAGCGGUGAAGUGCAUAGAUAUUACAUAGAAUACCAAUUGCGAAGGCAGAUCACUAAUAAUGUACUGACACUGAUGGACGAAAGCGUGGGGAGCGAACA